CCAUACUUUUCAAUGAAAAUUACUGUUGCUGCCACCGCUUAGUUAACGUGAUAAGAAUUUCGGUCCAAAUAAUUCGGUCGAGCGGCCCUUUCCCUCUCUCUGUUUUCCUCUCUGUUUCUCUCCCUUCGGCCGCCGAAGACCGGCCUCCGUCCAUCCCCAACUCGGGAAAGAGGCCCCCGCCGCCGAGAACCUAGCGCCGCCUGUCUCCAAAUCCUCCUGGGCGAGAACCCGGCCUUUCAGAAGUAUUCAGGAGAGUGCAAGCGGAGGUGGUUCCCCCACAGCGCCGGCGCGCUCGGUUUCAUCGGGUCCGUCGCAGAGGUGGCCGUGUGUCUGCCUGCCGUCACGAGAUGGACAACUUACAAUUGGGCAACAAUAGAAUUUUAGCGAUGAUGAAUGCGGAAUUCGGAUACAUGAAUUAGAGCGGCACACCAGAUUAUAGCCCAAUGGGAGAACAACAUAAGAUGGCAAAAUGUUUCUGGAUAUGCAAAACCAAGAUUCAGAAAGAAGCCUCUGCAAGAGGAGACAAAUUGGUUGGCGAGAACAUGGUGCUCAAGCUGAUUAGUUAUGCGACAUGUCGCAACCUUCAUGACAUGUCCCACCUGCAGGGGGAGCUCGCGAAGGCCAGGGCUGAACUCGCGGCGGCGAGGGUGGUGAUGGCGGUGGCGCACCCGGGCGCCGUCAUCCACCCCAUCAACUAUGAGGACGACGACGACAUGGGCUUCCUCCCCAACGACGCGGAUGUGAGCGACGCUGCUCGCGUCGUUCGAGAGCCUCUUGAAGCGGCCGUAGGCUACGGCGGCGGAGGCACGCCGCCAUACACGCGAAGGAGGCGUUCGCUGAGGAGCAGACGACCAUGUACGGCCGCCAUGCCGAUUAGCUAGAGGUGGACGCGGCGACGGAGACAUGGGCGAUGGUGGCGGAGGUUGCGCAGGGCAGGGCUGAGGCGGACGCAGACGCGGAGUCGGUGGCGGCGCCCAUGUCCCACCUGCAGGGGAAGCUCGCGAAGGCCAAGGAGAAACUCGCGGCAGCGAGGGUGGUGAUGGCGGCGGCGCACCCGGCCGCCGUCAUCCACGCCAUCGACGACGAGGAUGACGACGAGAUGGGCUUCCUCCCCAACGACGAGGAUGUGAGCGACGUUGCUCACGUCGUUCGAGAGCCUCCUGAGGCGGGAGUCGUCUGCAGGCUCUAGCGGCGGAGGCGCAAACUCGCGGCGAUGCGCUCCGACCUGGCGGAGGUCGCGUGGAUGGUCCGGGACCACACACAGAUCGAUUGCGAGAACCGCGAGCUACAGAAGGACAUCGUGGCGAGGGACGAGGUGGUUGCGGCAGUGGUGAGGGACAAAUCCCGCUACCACAUCGACCUAGAGGCAGUCGCGAAGGAGGAGGUGGCUCGCGCGGAGGCUUUGGAGGAGUACGCGCGCGUGGCAGCGGAGGAGGAGCUCGCCGCCAGCCCUAGGAAAAACUAUAUAAAAAUUAAUUGUAGCAACUUUUGGUGUUCUCCCAGUGCAACACGGACACUUUUGCUAGUUAUCAUCUCAUAUAUGCAUCUUAUUUUAGCAUCAUCUCAUCAUCCUUCUCCAUAGAUGUUGAUAGCUAUCAUCGACAUGGUGGUUCUGUUGCCCAAAUAUCUUUUGUCAAGUGCUUAUAGUCACCUUCUAUCUCA